GACGAACGCUGGCGGCGUGCUUAACACAUGCAAGUCGAACGGAAAGGCCUGCAGCUUGCUGCGGGUACUCGAGUGGCGAACGGGUGAGUAACACGUGGGUGAUCUGCCUUGCACUUCGGGAUAAGCUUGGGAAACUGGGUCUAAUACCGGAUAGGACAGCUGUUUAGUGUCAGUUGUGGAAAGUUUUUUCGGUGCAAGAUGAGCUCGCGGCCUAUCAGCUUGUUGGUGGGGUAAUGGCCUACCAAGGCGUCGACGGGUAGCCGGCCUGAGAGGGUGUACGGCCACAUUGGGACUGAGAUACGGCCCAGACUCCUACGGGAGGCAGCAGUGGGGAAUAUUGCACAAUGGGCGGAAGCCUGAUGCAGCGACGCCGCGUGGGGGAUGAAGGCCUUCGGGUUGUAAACUCCUUUCGACAGGGACGAAGCUUUUGUGACGGUACCUGUAGAGGAAGCACCGGCUAACUACGUG
rnacentral:rRNA from 1 species